rnacentral:rRNA from 1 species
UACGGAGGGGGCUAGCGUUGUUCGGAAUUACUGGGCGUAAAGCGUGCGCAGGCGGUUUUGUAAGCCAGAUGUGAAAGCCCCGGGCUUAACCUGGGAAUGGCAUUUGGGACUGCAAGGCUUGAGUGCGGCAGAGGAGACUGGAAUUCCUGGUGUAGCAGUGAAAUGCGUAGAUAUCAGGAGGAAUACCGAUGGCGAAGGCAGGUCUCGUGGGAAUAUCCUGACGCUUGAGGAGCGAAAGUGUGGGGAGCGAACAGG